rnacentral:rRNA from 1 species
CGGAAAAAGAGGAGUGGCGAACGGGUGAGUAACACGUGGGUAACCUGCCCAUCAGAAGGGGAUAACACUUGGAAACAGGUGCUAAUACCGUAUAACAAUCAAAACCGCAUGGUUUUGAUUUGAAAGGCGCUUUCGGGUGUCGCUGAUGGAUGGACCCGCGGUGCAUUAGCUAGUUGGUGAGGUAACGGCUCACCAAGGCCACGAUGCAUAGCCGACCUGAGAGGGUGAUCGGCCACAUUGGGACUGAGACACGGCCCAAACUCCUACGGGAGGCAGCAGUAGGGAAUCUUCGGCAAUGGACGAAAGUCUGACCGAGCAACGCCGCGUGAGUGAAGAAGGUUUUCGGAUCGUAAAACUCUGUUGUUAGAGAAGAACAAGGAUGAGAGCAACUGUUCAUCCCUUGACGGUAUCUAACCAGAAAGCCACGGCUAACUACGUGCCAGCAGCCGCGGUAAUACGUAGGUGGCAAGCGUUGUCCGGAUUUAUUGGGCGUAAAGCGAGCGCAGGCGGUUUCUUAAGUCUGAUGUGAAAGCCCCCGGCUCAACCGGGGAGGGUCAUUGGAAACUGGGAGACUUGAGUGCAGAAGAGGAGAGUGGAAUUCCAUGUGUAGCGGUGAAAUGCGUAGAUAUAUGG